rnacentral:rRNA from 1 species
CAUACGACUCUCGGCAACGGAUAUCUCGGCUCACGCAUCGAUGAAGAACGUAGCAAAAUGCGAUACUUGGUGUGAAUUGCAGAAUCCCGUGAACCAUCGAGUUUUUGAACGCAAGUUGCGCCCGAAGCCUUUUGGCCGAGGGCACGUCUGCCUGGGCGUCACAC